rnacentral:rRNA from 1 species
CGGAAGGAUCAUUAAAUAAUCAAUAAUCUUGGCUUGUCCAUUAUUAUCUAUUUACUGUGAACUGUAUUAUUAUUUGACGUUUGAGGGAUGUUCCAAUGUUAUAAGGAUAGACAUUGGAGAUGUUAACCGAGUCAUAAUCAGGUUUAGGCCUGGUAUCCUAUUAUUAUUUACCAAAUGAAUUCAGAAUUAAUAUUGUAACAUAGACCUAAAAAAUCUAUAAAACAACUUUUAACAACGGAUCUCUUGGUUCUCGCAUCGAUGAAGAACGUAGCAAAGUGCGAUAACUAGUGUGAAUUGCAUAUUCAGUGAAUCAUCGAGUCUUUGAACGCAACUUGCGCUCAUUGGUAUUCCAAUGAGCACGCCUGUUUCAGUAUCAAAACAAACCCUCUAUCCAACUUUUGUUGUAUAGGAUUAUUGGGGGCCUCUCGAUCUGUAUAGAUCUUGAAACCCUUGAAAUUUACUAAGGCCUGAACUUGUUUAAUGCCUGAACUUUUUUUUAAUAUAAAGGAAAGCUCUUGUAAUUGACUUUGAUGGGGCCUCCCAAAUAAAUCUUUUUUAAAUUUGAUCUGAAAUCAGGUGGGAUUACCCGCUGAACUUAAGCAUAU